UUUUCUUUAGGGUACCUGCGGAAGGAUCAUUG
rnacentral:rRNA from 1 species